AAUACAGGAGGGUGACAAGCUAGUUAAGUCGGAAAUUUACUGGGGCGUAAAAGAGCACGUAGGUGGUGGUUCAAGUUGGAUGUGAAAGCCCCGGGCUUAACCUGGGAAGGUCAUCCAAGACUGAGCGACUAGAGUAUAGUAGAGGGAAGUGGAAUUUCCGGUGUAGCGGUGAAAUGCGUAGAUAUCGGAAGGAACACCAGUGGCGAAGGCGACUUCCUGGACUAAUACUGACACUGAGGUGCGAAAGCGUGGGGAGCAAACAGG
rnacentral:rRNA from 1 species